rnacentral:rRNA from 1 species
ACGGGUGAGUAACACGUGACUAACCUACCCUGGAGUGGGGGAUAACUGAGGGAAACCUUAGCUAAUACGCAUAAUACUACGGGUCAAAGGAGCAAUUCGCUUUGGGAGGGGGUCGCGGCCGAUUAGUUAGUUGGCGGGGUAAUGGCCCACCAAGACAGUGAUCGGUAUCCGGCCUGAGAGGGCGCACGGACACACUGGAACUGAAACACGGUCCAGACUCCUACGGGAGGCAGCAGUGGGGAAUUUUGCGCAAUGGGGGAAACCCUGACGCAGCAACGCCGCGUGGAGGAUGAAGUACUUCGGUACGUAAACUCCUUUCGAUCGGGACGAUUAUGACGGUACCGGAAGAAGAAGCCCCGGCUAACUUCGUGCCAGCAGCCGCGGUAAUACGAGGGGGGCAAGCGUUGUUCGGAAUUAUUGGGCGUAAAGGGUGCGUAGGCGGUUUGGUAAGUCUUGUGUGAAAUCUCCGGGCUCAACUCGGAGUCUGCAUAGGAAACUGCCGGGCUUGAGUGUGGGAGAG